AAAAGAAACCAACCGGGAUUGCCUCAGUAACGGCGAGUGAAGCGGCAAGAGCUCAAAUUUGAAAGCUGGCUCCUUCGGGGUCCGCAUUGUAAUUUGCAGAGGAUGCUUCGGGUGCAGCCCCCGUCUAAGUGCCCUGGAACGGGCCGUCAUAGAGGGUGAGAAUCCCGUAUGGGGCGGGGUGCUGCGUCCGUGUGAAGCUCCUUCGACGAGUCGAGUUGUUUGGGAAUGCAGCUCUAAAUGGGUGGUAAAUUUCAUCUAAAGCUAAAUACUGGCCGGAGACCGAUAGCGCACAAGUAGAGUGAUCGAAAGAUGAAAAGCACUUUGAAAAGAGAGUUAAACAGCACGUGAAAUUGUUGAAAGGGAAGCGCUUGCAACCAGACUCGCUCGCGGGGUUCAGCCGGGCUUCGGCCCGGUGUACUUCCCCGCGGGCGGGCCAGCGUCGGUUUGGGCGGCCGGUCAAAGGCCUCCGGAAUGUAGCGCCCUUCGGGGCGCCUUAUAGCCGGGGGUGCAAUGCGGCCAGCCUGGACCGAGGAACGCGCUUCGGCACG
rnacentral:rRNA from 2 species